rnacentral:misc_RNA from 1 species
AAGCUUUCACAUGAGGAGUUAUUUUUGGAUUGACUUGAAGCAGCUCAAUGAUAUAUAUCGCUAUAAAACAGAGGAAUACUCUCACACUGCAGUUAACAAGUUUAAUGUAAUACCUGAUUCUCUUCCAGAAUGGAUUUUUGAUUUUAUGCCAACUCAUGGUGGUUACUUUAUAGGGAACGUUAGUCCUGCAAGAAUGGAUUUCCGCUGGUUUUGCCUAGGUAAUUGUGUUGCAAUUCUUUCAUCUUUGGCAACCCCUGAACAAUCCAUGGCAAUCAUGGAUCUUAUAGAAUCACGGUGGGAGGAGUUGGUAGGAGAAAUGCCUCUCAAGGUAUGCUAUCCGGCCAUAGAGAGCCAUGAAUGGCGGAUUAUAACUGGAUGUGACCCCAAAAACACCAGAUGGAGUUACCACAAUGGAGGAUCCUGGCCAGUGCUUCUGUGGCUUCUCACAGCUGCUUGUAUCAAGACUGGACGGCCGCAAAUUGCAAGGCGAGCCCCAUUGAGCUUGCAGAAAAUAGGCUGUUGAAAGACAAUUGGCCUGAAUAUUAUGAUGGGAAGCUCGGACGAUACAUUGGAAAGCAGGCCAGGAAGUUCCAAACCUGGUCUGUUGCAGGUUACUUGGUGGCAAAAAUGAUGCUGGAAGAUCCCUCCCAUUUGGGUAUGGUGUCACUUGAGGAGGACAAACAAAUGAAGCCCCUCCUUAAAAGAUCAAAUUCAUGGACAUUCUGAUGUUAUUUGUUUAGAACUUCUACAUGCAUCUACCUAUUUUUAGUUUAAAUUUUAGAUUCACAUGCCAAACUCUUUUUAAGUGUUGGUACUUCGUAGCUGA